rnacentral:rRNA from 1 species
UACAGAGGGGGGCAAGCGUUGUUCGGAAUUACUGGGCGUAAAGGGCGCGUAGGCGGCCUGCUAAGUCGAACGUGAAAUCCCUGGGCUCAACCCAGGAACUGCGUCCGAUACUGGUGGGCUCGAAUCCGGGAGAGGGAUGUGGAAUUCCAGGUGUAGCGGUGAAAUGCGUAGAUAUCUGGAGGAACACCCGUGGCGAAGGCGGUUCUCUGGGACGGUACUGACGCUGAGACGCGAAAGCGUGGGGAGCGAACAGG